rnacentral:tRNA from 1 species
UUAGAAAGAUAGGAAUCGAACCUAAAAUUGAGAGAUUAAACCCUCAAUAAUUUCAUUUUAUUUCUUUCUA